CCUACGGGUGGCAGCAGUGAGGAAUAUUGGUCAAUGGACGAGAGUCUGAACCAGCCAAGUAGCGUGAAGGAUGACUGCCCUAUGGGGUGUCAACUUCUUUUAUAUGGGACUAAAAUGUUCCACGUGUGGGAUUUUGUAUGUACCAUAUGAAUACGGAUCGGCUAACUCCGUGCCAGCAGCCGCGGUAAUACGGAGGAUCCGAGCGUUAUCCGGAUUGAGUGGGUUUAAGGGGAGCGUAGGUGGAUUGUUAAGUCAGUUGUAAAAGUUUGCGGCUCAACCGUAAAAUUGCAGUUGAAACUGGCAGUCUUGAGUACAGUAGAGGUGGGCGGAAUUCGUGGUGUAGCGGGGAAAUGCUUAGAUAUCACGAAGAACUCCGAUUGCGAAGGCAGCUCACUGGACUGCAACUGACACUGAGGCUCGAAAGUGUGGGUAUCAAACAGGAUUAGAUACCCUAGUAGUC
rnacentral:rRNA from 1 species